rnacentral:rRNA from 1 species
AGCCAUGGUGAAAGCCCGUUGAAAGCACUAGUUCCUAAGGGGAUCACUGAAGUUAAGCAUUAAAAGCAAUAGUUCCUAAGGGGAUCACUGAAGUUAAGCAGCGUUGUGUGUUGUUGGUGUCCGAAUGGGUGACCAUCUGGGCAAUCCUUUGCUGCUGGUUU